AAUAGAUACCCGGGUAGUCCACGCCGUAAACGAUGAGUGCUAAGUGUUAGAGGGUUUCCGCCCUUUAGUGCUGCAGCUAACGCAUUAAGCACUCCGCCUGGGGAGUACGGCCGCAAGGCUGAAACUCAAAGGAAUUGACGGGGGCCCGCACAAGCGGUGGAGCAUGUGGUUUAAUUCGAAGCAACGCGAAGAACCUUACCAGGUCUUGACAUCCUCUGCCAACCCUAGAGAUAGGGCGUUCCCCUUCGGGGGACAGAGUGACAGGUGGUGCAUGGUUGUCGUCAGCUCGUGUCGUGAGAUGUUGGGUUAAGUCCCGCAACGAGCGCAACCCUUGAUCUUAGUUGCCAGCAUUUAGUUGGGCACUCUAAGGUGACUGCCGGUGACAAACCGGAGGAAGGUGGGGAUGACGUCAAAUCAUCAUGCCCCUUAUGACCUGGGCUACACACGUGCUACAAUGGAUGGUACAAAGAGCUGCGAACCCGCGAGGGUAAGCCAAUCUCAUAAAGCCAUUCUCAGUUCGGAUUGUAGG
rnacentral:rRNA from 1 species